GCUUAGGGACACCUCUAGUGACCACUCCUCAGACGGCCACUAGAGGUGCUUCCUGCCUUCCUGCUGAACUUUCCCCAUAGAGAUGCAUUGAUUCAAUGCAUCUCUAUGAGGAGAUGCUGAUUGCCCGGGACGUUGUUUGGCCCCACUCCACCUCCUUGACGAUCUGCGCCAAUUCAAUGCUUUUCCUAUGGAACACAUAACUAAGAUAGCAGAGUGCAAACGGAGCGCACAAGAAAAC